rnacentral:rRNA from 1 species
AGUGAACGCUGGCGGUAGGCCUAACACAUGCAAGUCGAACGGCAGCACAGUAAGAGCUUUCUCUUACGGUUGGCGAGUGGCGGACGGGUGAGGAAUACAUCGGAAUCUACUUUUUCGUGGGGGAUAACGUAGGGAAACUUACGCUAAUACCGCAUACGACCUACGGGUGAAAGCAGGGGAUCUUCGGACCUUGCGCGAUUGAAUGAGCCGAUGUCGGAUUAGCUAGUUGGCGGGGUAAAGGCCCACCAAGGCGACGAUCCGUAGCUGGUCUGAGAGGAUGAUCAGCCACACUGGAACUGAGACACGGUCCAGACUCCUACGGGAGGCAGCAGUGGGGAAUAUUGGACAAUGGGCGCAAGCCUGAUCCAGCCAUACCGCGUGGGUGAAGAAGGCCUUCGGGUUGUAAAGCCCUUUUGUUGGGAAAGAAAAGCAGCAGGUUAAUACCCCGCUGUUCUGACGGUACCCAAAGAAUAAGCACCGGCUAACUUCGUG